rnacentral:rRNA from 1 species
UACGUAGGGGGCGAGCGUUGUCCGGAUUUAUUGGGCGUAAAGAGCGUGUAGGCGGCCAGGUAGGUCUGCUGUGAAAACUCGAGGCUCAACCUCGAGACGUCGGCGGAAACCAUCUGGCUAGAGUCCGGAAGAGGAGAGUGGAAUUCCUGGUGUAGCGGUGAAAUGCGCAGAUAUCAGGAAGAACACCCGUGGCGAAGGCGGGUCUCUGGGCAGUAACUGACGCUGAGGAGCGAAAGCGUGGGGAGCGAACAGG